ACAAGAAUCACCUGGAGGUCUUAUUAAAAACAGAUUUGUAGGCCCCAUCCCUACAGUCUCUAUUCAGCAGAUCAGGAUGGUACCCAGGAAUCUGUAUUUCUAACAAGCUUACAAGUAAUGACAAU
rnacentral:miRNA from 1 species